CUGACAUUAAUAAAUACGUAGUUUGCAUUGAAAUUAAUAAAUAUAGAGUGGUAACGAAACGUAUGAGAAUAAGAAUAAAAUAAAUUUUGACACACACAUAGCCAUGCACCUGCAGAAUUAACAGCGUCUUCAAUCUUACAAGGAACAUUACCGCAAGGCAUGGUUGAAAAGUGUUCUUGAUUUUAACAAAAGCGUUUAGUAUUCACAAUAAAGUUCUGAACGAUUAGGAAAAGAUUAGCAUUUGUAUGUUGCGAAACGUCAGGAUGACCGUUCAAAAACCAUGAUAAACGCAUUUUGCUUGUUGAAUUUAACCAUUUGGAACCAAGUAAAUGUGCAGCGGAAGCAAAAAGAACAGCGCGAUGAGCAGCAUAUCGGCCACAGUCAAAGAAGAAAUGACUGACAGUCUCACUGGUUGAACCACAAGAACAUGAUGGCGAUGGCACGCAAUUUAUUAAGAACAAAUAAUGAUUUAAGGUACAAUGAAAUAGACGAAAACGAGUAUGAAGUAUGGAGGCAUAGCGAUUACCAAUAUAGAACAAUGAAUUUGGAAUUGGAUCAUCACGCCAAACAUUGAUAAAAAAUUCAUUGAUUUCUUUUGUAUUUUCCUCAUAACUGUAGUGUAGAUAACUUACAUGCCUAGUUACCAGGGACGCCGGAACGAUGUGAAGGCAAGGGGGGCAGAUUUUCGUGAAAGGGCACUUUUGAAUUGAUAUAUACUAAGAGAUGUUUGCACUUUGAAAAACAUCGGGAGUUGAACUUCGCCUAAUCAUGUUUUUUAUUUUUGGAUGAUAGGGGUGUGAGGGGGUUCUCCGCCAGGCGAUUGUGCUAUUCUUGAAACUCGAUGCUGCAUUUCUUGCGUUUUCUGAAGCAAAUUCGCAAAAGAAUUGCACUAACAUUUCUGACAAUUCGCCAUUUCGCCAAGGCAAUCCUUUAAAUUGAAAGGGCACCUUUGCCCCCCUUGCCCCUCCUGGUAAAGGGCAACGGGGGGCGGCUGCCCCUCCUGCCCCCCAGUUCCGGCGUCCCUGCUAGUUACUACUGUUUUAGUUUACUGCAGAAGCAUAUAAUAGACCAAAGUACCGAAGCAUUGGAUACUUGGAGUUAUGUAUAAGAGUCAUUUACUCAUGUACAUAAUUCUAGAGUUUAGUUGGGUAUAAACAAACGAUAGCCAAAUUUGUCUCAGCUUUUCAGGAAUUUUUACAAAGGUUUCAAAAAUCACUACCAGGCCUCGACUUCAUACAAUCGGCCCAAGUGCAUAUGAUUCCAAUUACCAAAAUACCUCGCCUAGUGGGAUAUUUUUCAUGGAUUAAGUCACAGCGAGACUGUAUAUUAAAGCAAAUAUUUCUCUGAAAUAAUAAUACUAAAAAAGGGCAGCGCUGCCCUCUUUAUUUUACCCUCUUGGCAUGGUUCCGAUAUGCAUUGUAAUUGGGAUCAUAAGCAAAUGUUUCAAAGAAUGUGUAGCUAUAGUUGUAUAUAAGAUAAUAUUGUUGCUGUAAAAAGAAAAUACAAAUAGAUCGAGUCAUAGUUU